AUUGAACGCUGGCGGCAUGCCUUACACAUGCAAGUCGAACGGCAGCGCGGGGCAACCUGGCGGCGAGUGGCGAACGGGUGAGUAAUAUAUCGGAACAUACCCUAGAGUGGGGAUAACGUAGCGAAAGUUACGCUAAUACCGCAUACGCACUAAGGUGGAAAGUGGGGGAUCUUCGGACCUCAUGCUCAUGGAGUGGCCGAUAUCUGAUUAGCUAGUUGGUGAGGUAAAGGCUCACCAAGGCGACGAUCAGUAGCUGGUUUGAGAGAACGACCAGCCACACUGGAACUGAGACACGGUCCAGACUCCUACGGAGGCAGCAGUGGGAAUUUUGGACAAUGGGGGCAACCUGAUCCAGCAAUGCCGCGUGAGUGAAGAAGGACCUUCGGUU
rnacentral:rRNA from 1 species